rnacentral:lncRNA from 1 species
GUCGCGCUAAGGCGUGUGUUGGGGGAGAAGGAAGGUGGAGAUCGGAGUGGUAUCCCAAGAAUGAGACGCUGCUUCAUCUGGGGGCAAAGAAAUCUAACAUCAGCAGCCUUUCUACUAAUAACACUAAUUCUACUAGUUCACUCGCAAUCAUCAUCAUCUGCAGCUGAAAAAGAUCAAGAAGAAAAUGGGCAACUGUGGUACUAGGGAGGAAUCUGCCGUCGUUUCCAAUGCUCAUCAAGGUUCUUCCCUACUCCUUUUUUACUACUUAUAUAUUGAUUAGUACUUUUUGGUUAUUCUCUUUCAUAAUCUUCCAGAUCUAGGGUAUUUCCCCUUUCCCGAAAUUCCCUUUCCACUCUAUUAAGCGCUUCAAUUUCCUCUUUUUAGUUCAUUCUCUCUCCCUCACGCACACAUACUUGAAUUGUUCUUUGAUUUUUGGGAGUUUCUUUGCUGUGUUACAUAUAUGCAGUUCCUGCAUAAUGUGCCAAAAAGGUUUAGACUUCUUCAGGUUAGGAUAUGUUGACAUUUUUUUAGUAUUACUUGGUUUGGUCUUAUACACUACUACAUAGAAAGAUAUAAAUUAUAACGCACAUAAUGAUGGAUAGUUCAGCAGCUCAGAUGCUGUCUGGUAGAAAUCAUCAUCAGUACCAUCAUAAUAAUAGUAAAAAUGGAAAUGCUACAGCAGCAGCGGCACCUCCAGAGAAGAAGCAUAGUCGUUCCAUCUCAGAUCUGAGCGAUCCUUCAUCCACCCCUCGCAGCUUCUUCAUCGAGGACUCAAGGAAGAAUGCCUUGCACUACACCCAUGUCAUUGCCUUCACCCUAUUCGAGCUCGAGACCAUUACUAAGAGCUUUCGCUCUGACUACAUUCUGGGGGAGGGUGGUUUUGGUACUGUAUACAAGGGCUACAUCGACGAGAAUGUCAGGGUUGGCCUUAAAUCUCUUCCAGUUGCUGUCAAGGUUCUCAACAAGGAAGGCCUACAGGGCCACCGUGAGUGGCUUGUAAGUUCUCUUCUUUAUUAUUAUUUUUUCCUCCCACCUAUUCUCCUUGCACAUACCAAUCCAUUUUUUUAACUAUCUUAUUGUGUCCUUAUUACUCCAUCUCAGACAGAGGUUAACUUUCUCGGGCAGCUUAGGCAUCCCAAUCUUGUGAAGUUGAUUGGCUAUUGUUGCGAGGAUGAUCACCGGUUACUUGUUUAUGAGUUCAUGUUCCGCGGAAGCCUUGAGAAUCACCUCUUCCGAAGUACGUACCUUUCUCUCUUCCCUUAUUCCCUUCAUUUUUGCAUCUGAGAAGGGUGGGAUUUGUGACACAACACAAGUGCAACACGAGAAAAAAGACUUUGGGUGACUUUCGUUAAUAAGUGGGUUGACACAUUCAACGCGAACUUUAAGUGGAUUGGGUGUGUUAGUGAGUCCUAACCAGUUGACAAUUUAACACGAUUUAAUUCAUUUGAUUAGGAUGACAAUAUAAUAGUUAAUAGAUGAUAAAAAUGACGCUAUUUAUUGCCUUGGAUAAUCAAGUUAUAAAUUUCUUAGUCAUUUAUUGGUUUUGUUAAAUGGGUUGUCUUUUGUUAAAAGAAUCAUGUUGUUAUUUGCAAAAUAAGCAAAAUGAGUCGUGUAUGCAACACAAGUUACACAAGCUGCUUAUUAAACGCGUUCAACUGGUUGAUGUUUAUCACUGUUAAUAAACAGGUUAGUGUUAGGGUUGUCGGUUGAGGUUCUCGAGUCAUGACAUGAUUGGUUAAAUGGGUCUUAUUUGGGUUGACUUGUUUAGCAUAAUACCUAUGAGUUAACAUGAUAGUGGAUUUUAGAAGUACCAAGUCUUUUUUUUGGAUGGUGUUAUGUUUUUUAAUUGAGAAUUGUAAUCAUUUUCCUUAACCUUAAGCUGCGAUAAGAACAUGCAACUUCAAACUUAGAGCUAGUUACUUAAUUUUUGUUUAAAAAAAAUAAAAUAAGAAAAAGAAGUGAAUCCUAAGAGCUAGUUAUCAUCUAGAUUAGAACAGACCAAAGAACCAUAAGCUUAUAAGAAGAGGUAAUGUUGCAGGAAUCAUAUGUGGUUCCUGUCUUUUAUAGUGCAAUUUAUAAUUUAUGCCUUAAGCACUAGUUCAUCUUAAUAUCAUAUUGGUUUGAAAGAAAUUGGUUAUAAAACUACAAGGAUGAGGUUUUAUAAUAUGGAAAGAUAAAAUGUAGGAAUGUAAAAUUAACCGAAAAAAUAAGCAUCCUUAUGCCGGGAAGGCGGGUGGGGCUGCGGAUGGGCUAGGGAGGUGCUAUGGAGGGUGUUGAAACAUCAGUGGACGAGAAUAUACUUCAAGCAAUAUGCUUAAGAUAAGAUUCAAUUAUUUUUCUUUCCAAGUUCAGUUUGUUAACGUCUUAUAUCAUGUUUUGCAUGAUCAGUUUUGCAAGUUAUGAUCAUUAGAGUGUCUUUUAUCUUGUUUUCAAAUUAUAGGUAACACUGUUGAGAACUCUUUGUAUAAUGCUAAUGAUAUUAUAUAAAUCAAUGCUUUCUAGUUAGGGUGUUGAUUAUGUUAACUUAAUUCAAUGUGAACUCUCUCGAGGCAUUCAGAGGCCACUGUUCCACUAUCUUGGUCAACAAGGAUGAUGAUUGCUCUUGGGGCAGCAAAAGGGCUUGCUUUCCUUCACAAUGCUGAGAGGCCAGUUAUCUACCGUGAUUUCAAAACUUCCAAUAUCUUGUUGGACUCUGUAAGUGUUCUUCUCUAGUUUAAUUAUUAGAGACUUAAUUUUUCUCAAAGCCAACUUUAUGAAACAACCCGGGUCAAAUUCCGAGUCUGAAUUAAAUUAAAUUCAUCCAAACAAGGCCUUAAACCACUAGCCCAAUAGUAUCUUCUUGUGUCACCUUAGCCCACAACAGGCUCACCCAAAAGGUCAUGACUGAAGAAACUAUUGUUAGUAACUCAAUUCUGUAUACACAGUCAAACUUUUUUCCAUAUCUUUCGAUGUAGAAAUGCACGGUCCACAGAUCUUUUCCUCUGCCAUGGUGGGAUAAUACUUGACUGGCUUCGUGUCGCCGUUUAUUGAAUUUGUUGCUAUCUUUUAGACAGAGAAUGAUGUAUCUUGUUUGGCUGUCUGUGAACCUGCAGGAUUAUACUGCUAAGCUUUCUGAUUUUGGGCUUGCGAAAGCUGGGCCACAAGGUGAUGAGACUCAUGUAUCAACUCGGGUGAUGGGUACCUAUGGUUAUGCUGCCCCUGAAUAUGUAAUGACUGGUAUGGCUUUUGACAUCUCAUGAUGGCUUUAAUCUUGACGCUUGAUCCCUACCUGUUGCACAAAAGAUAUUAAUGCACCUAAAUUGGGAGUUUGAUGAAAUAGAAAUUGGAUGACACGUGUUAAUGUUUGUACCAACUGGAGAAAGGAACAGAAUAAAGAGAAUAGGGAUAGAGAAAUCCUUAAAAUUAGAGUUAGGGGAUGGCAAAAGGGUGGAGAAAACUCACUAAGUGGGUGCAGAACCUCUAACAAUUUAGUUCAUGGAAAACUAAACCUUUAUUUGAGUAAACUCUAAAUUAUACUCCCUUCGUUCCACAUAAUAGUCCCAUCUGUAUUUUUGUUUUACGUUUAUCCCUCAAAAAUAUAACUUGAUGGUUCAAUAGUAGUGGCAUGAUAAUGUAAUUAUGAUGGCAAGCUUAAGGACAUUGUGUCACUUCGUACUACUAUCAGACUCUUUUUAUGGAACAAAAAAAUUGGCAACUUUGAUUUUUUUGUGGAACAGACGGAAGACGUGGUAAAAAAUAUUCUUCGCCCCUUUUCCAUUACACCACAUACAUAUUUACAAAUGCAAAAUAAUUCAACCACUAAAUACAACUCCCCUAACCCACUUAUAUAACUAACUCCAACUAUUUAAUCCAUUACUACCACAACUAAAUACAAAUAAAACUCAUUUAACUACUAUGUUAACACAAUUAAAAUAUACUACUAAUAAAGUUAAAUUUGUGAAAAUAACUGUUUCCUAUUUUUGGAAGACUUAAAUAUAAAUUAGUAUCCUAAACUAUGGGUCAUAUUCCACUUCGGUGAUCCACAUUUCAAUUUUGUCAAUUAGAUGAUUUAACUAUUAAUUUUUUUUACAUCCAUUCAAUUGAGCCUGCUAUGUCACAAAUUGAUGAUGUGGUAGGUAGGCCAUAGUGCAGUAGAUGUGUAACAAAAAAAGAUUAUUUUAAUAUUUAUUUACACAUUUAUUAUACAUUAAAGGGUAAAUUCGUCAAACCACCCUAAGAUUUCACCCAAAAUGGAAUCAAUUCAUCAUCCAAAUCGGAUUCAAUUCAUCUUCAUCAUUCACGGAAAGACGCUUCGAAUCAAGCAUAAAUUCUUAAUCACAUAUCAAUGAAACACAAACACAAAUUCGAUCAUAUAAAGUAAUAAUAAACACAUCACAUAAUCACAGAUAACAAGAUUUGUACAUUAAAAUCAACCAAUUCUAAUAUUAUUAUUUUAAUUUAAACAAUAAUACCAACAAUCACAGUUCGAUCCAUUCUAGUCGUUGAACUAUCGGCCAGGGACCUCCACACGAUGUCCUUAAGUGCCAGCCGAAGCUCCUUACUACAGAAUUGGUUGUACUACAAAGUAUCACCACUCGACUUUACUUCCACCACCAAAAAAGACGGCAUUAUGGUGAAAAUCCCCGCCAAAUCAACACCGGAAUUGCUCUUCUUCACGCUAAAUUUCACUGACUUGGCCACCUCCUCCAACUUCAAAAUCACGCUACUCGCUGAUCUCGUCAUCGCAAAUCUCAGCUCUUAUCUCUCCUCUCUCUUCUCCUCAAGCAACGACGCCAAAUCAAACCUCUUUGAGCAAAUCCUUCUUUUUUGACUUUUAAACUCCUCGGCACCGUCAAUUCACCGCCGUUGAUUAUGAAGAAGACGAGGAGCAGUAAGAGGAGGAUUAUGAUUUGGAUGAUGAAUUGAUUUCAUUUUGGGUGAAAUCUUAGGACGAUUUGACAAAGUUGCCCAUUAAUGUAUAAUAAAUGUGUAAAUAAAUAUUAAAAUAAUAUUUUUUAAUUACACAUCAGCUGUACUAUGGCCCAGAGAGCCACAUCAUCAAUUUGUGACAUGACAUGCUCAAUUGAAUGGAAGUGAAAAAAAAUUAAUAGUUUAAUCAUCUAAUUGACAAAAUUGAAAGUUAGAUCACCAAAGUGGAAUAUAACUCAUAGUUUAGAGUAGUAAUUUAGAUUUAAGCCUUUUUGAAAUGACAUCAUCAAGAUGCCAUACAUUCUAGUAGUUGACCGAGAAUAGAAGGAUUUGAUGGGAGGAGAUGGUGGCACCAUUCUUUUUUCCAAUAUAUAAUUCUAAUAGUAACAUAAACUGUUAUAGUUGGCUGAAUCUAAAGCUCUGUUCUGGUUAAUUUGUGAAAACUAUUUGAUAGAUCUUCAAGUCUCUUUACAAAUUGUGACUUUCAUUGAGGCGUGGCAGUUAGUUUGAUGCUCAUUGUUUUUCUUCUUCUUUUAAAUUGGUUAAUUUGUCCUCUCAAUUGUUAUGACAUGGAAAAUGGAUUAUAAUAUGAACUUUGAAGUUCUUUCCCCUAGUAUUAGGAAGCACUGACACGUCCUGGAAGCCCACGAAUUCGUGUUGGACACUAAUUCGCUCCGACACGCACUCGACACGUGUCCGUGGGCUUCCCUUUUUCUUUUUCCUUUUUAAAACUCAAACAUGCCUGAGGUGUGUCUCGACACGCAAAGGACAUGCCUAGGGUAAAUUUUUUUAAAAAAAUAAAAAUUCUAGGUACCCAUAUGCAAUUGGUACCUUUUAAACCUAAUUCCUUCAAGUCGGACCAUAUCCAUAUGGUGUAGGCUGCAUAUGUUAUAGGAAAAUGACAUACAUGUCAACAAAUAUUUGACGAAGUUGAAUUACGACCAACGUGGAAGUGUAUGCGAUAAGAUAAAAUAAAUUAAAGUGAGACUCUUAUUCCUACUUAUCCCGUGUAUGCACAUACGUCGCAUUCAUAAUUCGGUUGAAAACUUUCGCAAUGUAUAGCGGUACUCUAUGUUAUAAUUUGUAUAUGGACCCAUGUGGGCUGCCUAAAAUGGGUAUGUUAUAAAUUUGUUUAAGUUUUUAUCACGCUCUAUUAACAAUUAAAUUUAUUUAUUGUAAACAAUACAUUUACAUUGUUAAAAAUAUAAAAAAAAAAUUGAACGUGUCCUCGAAGUAUCGUGUCCUGUUUUUUUGGAAAAUGUCGUAUCCCGUGUCGCGUAUCUUGUUGUGUCCAUGUCAGAGUCGGUGCUUCAUAGCCCUGGUAUAAUGGUCUGUUUGCUUGUACAGGUCUGUUGCUUUUAUUCAACUUUAGAUACCAAGCAACUUAAAUGAUACAAAUUGUUUGUGUAAGAAUUAAUCUGUUAGUAACGGAAAAACAUAGCAUACCAUAGGCUAUGUUUGGAUUCACAAUUGUAGGAGAACAUGUUUUAUAAUGGAAAGGGGAAAAGAAUCCAGUCUUAAGCAUCUAGAAAUAGUUUUCUAUGUUCUCCAAGAACUUGGAAUGUAGUAUUUAAAUUAAAGUGCCCCAGAAUUGUCCUUGUUCCUGCUAACUUGAGUUGUGUUGUCAUGCUUGACAAAGCAUACUGAUAACUGCUAAACCAAUGGUUUACAACACACAAUGGCAAUAACAACAUUCACUAUUUCUUUUGGCUACGUAAUAAGAUGAGAUAUCUUGUGAUAUUGCUAGAGCUAUAACUAUUAAGGCUAGAACAUUUUUUUAUUUUUGAUAAAAAAGAAUAAUUUUUAUUGAUUAGAGGAUAAAAUUAUAAUGCAUAACGAGGACAAGAAGUCCUCCCAAAAGAAAUUAAAGAAAACAAAAUGAGGAUAACUUGAUAUUAAUGAAGCAUCGCCUGCCAAUCUCUAUGAAAAUCGGAUAAAGAAAUUCCUCCAAAAGCUCCCAUUGCAUGAGCCCAGAGAGAAGCAAAUAAAGAUGUUUUAUCCCAAAACAACUUAAUAUUUGUAAUCCGAUCGCAAAAAAUGCUAGCAUUCUUUUCAAUUCAAAUUUCCCACAAAAUAGCAAAACAAACACAUCUCCAAAGAAUCCUUUUAUCAUUCUACCAAAACCCUUGAAUUUGUAUAGUAAAAGAUCUAACACUGAAGAGGGACGUAUCCAACUUUCACCCGUCACACUAAACAAACAACACCACAACCGCCAAAGCAUCAAACAGUGAGGAAAUAAAUGAGAAUGAGACUCACUAUCCUUCAAACACAUUACACACAUCUGGAAUAAAGAUUUGUAAGGCUUACGCAUUUUACGCAUAUCAUUAGUGUUAAGCCGACCAAGAGUUAAGGACCACAUAAAAAUCUUAAUUUUUGAGGGAGCCUUUGCUUUCCAAAUAUUAGAGGCUAGAGGAAAAUGAUGAACUGAAUAAGUAAGUGAAAAAAGAAUGACACGAGAAGAUUUUGAAGAAUCAAAACACCAAACACGCCCAUCCAAGGACUAAGAAAAUGAAACUGAAUUAAGAAGUUGAAUAAAUAAAGAGAAUUCCUCCGUCUCCCUAUCAUUUAAAUUGCGGAAAAAAAUGAAAAUUCCAAGAAAUUGAAUCUCCGUCUCAAGUAUAGAAAUUAGAAAUGGGAGAAUUAUGCUCAGACGAGAGAUAAAAAAGACGAAGAAAAACUAAUGAAAGAGGAACAUCUCCUAACCAAAUAUCAUCCCAAAAUCGAAUAUUCAUCCCAUUACCAACUUAGAGACAAACAAGAAAAUAAAAGGUAGCGUAAUCUUGGGAGAUAAAUUUUCAAGGACUAGAAUAAGUAUCACGAGAAGGACAAGGAUUUGCAUUCUACCCAUUCUGUUGAAUUUCAUACUUGCUUUUAAUCACUUGAUGCCAAAGAGAGUCCAGUUCCAAAAGAAAGUGCUAUAACCAUUUGUUCACUAGAGCUCGGUUCUUAGACACUUACAAGAACUAAACCACCUUCCUCUCCAGGACAACACAUCUCAAUCAACCAAGUGGCUUUCCUAUCCAAAGUAUCCCCAACCCAUAAAAACUUGCACAUAAUACGUUCAAGAGAUUUGACUACCCCUACCUUAAACAACGAGAGAUAAUAAAGAGGAAUACUUACUAAACAAGCCUGGAUAAGAGUAAUCCUCCCACCCAUGGGUGAGAAGUAAGAAUCUUUUCAACAAUCAAGCCUCCUACCCACUCGCUCUACUACAGGAUCCCAAAAAGAUCUUAGAUUACCACCUAAAGGGACCCCUAAAUAAGUCCUAGGUAAAUAGUAACUUCACACCCAACUAGUGAAGCGUAAGAAAGAAGAACAUCUUCCAUAUUAAUACCAGUGAGACUACACUUUGAAAGAUUAAUUUUCAUACCUGAUGUAAACUCAAAAAUUUGAAGGAACGACAAGACAUUCUUAAAACUAGUAACACCUUAAGCGAGAAAAAGAAUGGUAUCAUCCGCAAACUGAAGAUGAGAAACUCUAACUUCUUCUCGAUCAACUACACAACCAUUAACAAGACCGUCUAUAUCACUUUUUCAAAUCAUCUACUCAAAACAUCCACCACAAGAGUAAAGAGAACUGGGGAAAACAUAUCCCCUUGUCUAAUAAAGAGAACUGGGGAAAACAUAUCCCCUUGUCUAAGAGCUCUAGGUGUCUUGAACUAAGAUUUAGGCUCUCCAUUAACAAUCACAAAAAGAUUGGAAGAAGAAAAACAACUCUUAAUCCACAUUCUCCAUUUAAGCCCAAAAUCUUUCCUAAUUAAAACCUUAUCUAGAAAGUUUCAAUUAACCCUAUCGCAGGCUUUCUCAAAAUCCAACUUCAAAAUCAAAGCCACAUGCCUUCUUCGUUUCACAUCUUCCACCACCUCAUUAGCAACUAAAGUUGCAUCUAGAAUUUAUUUGCCACCCAUAAAAGCACUCUGGUUAAAAGAAAUAGUACCAUCUAAGACAUCUCCAAUAUACUUAGAAAGAAUCACUAACUCCAAUAUGCUCAGAAAGAAACUUAGUGAGAAUCGUAUACACACUGGUCACUAAGCUUAUAGGUCUAUAAUCUCCCGGAUAGAUCUAUCCUUCUUAGGAAUUAAAGUAAUGAAGGUAGAGUUAAUGCUCUUACACAAAACUCCAUUAGCAUGAAACUCUUGGAAGAAAUUCAAAAGAUCAUCCUUGAUAGUACUCCAACACUGUUGAAAAAAAGCUAAAAAAAAAUCCAUCCGGACCUAGAGCUUUGUCACCCUCCAUCCCUACAGCAGUCCGUCUAAUUUCCUUUUCCAAAGGCCUCUCUAACCACAAACUCUUAUCCCCCUCAAUAGGAUCCCACUGCAGCCCCUCAAUCAUAAUCCUAGUACAACUAAAGCAUUUUAGAUGGGGUUAAAUCACUUUUGCCUCACUGAAAUAAACAAUAAUUUAUGUAUGCAUCACUGAAUUAAUUAUUUUUACAAUCGACUCACUAAACUGGAAAUUUUUUUACAAAGCGUUACAAAAUCUAUUAACUUGUUUUUUACUUUUAACGGAAUGACUAGCAUGCAGGAGAGAGGUUGAGUUUAAGUCAUAUAUAUGUCAACGUGGCAAUGCCAUAGUGGAAAAGAAAAAAAAUACUUACGAUAAAGUUGAAUUAACUAAUUACACGUUAUCAUCACAUUAAUUCAAACAUUAUCAUCACAUUUUUUUCUUACAUAAUAAACAUAAACCAGAUUUCAAACAAGAUUUGAUAUUCACGAGGGAAAUACAAAGAAAAAGACCAUUAAAAACAAGAUUUCAUAUUCAGAUUUCAAACAAGAUUUCAAAAAACUAGACUACACAAGCCGAAUUUCAUAUUCAAACACAACCCAAUACCUCAUUUAUUUUCUUUUUGAAAACAAUCAGUACCUCACUUGAAUCAUUCAACCAUUUUUAUUUUCUUUCUUCUUUUCCGUUGUUGAUCUGGAAAGAUAAUAGUCGCCGAAAAAAAUGGAGGCGGCUAGACCCAUCAACUCUCUCUCUCUCUCUCUAUAACUUCUGCCUCCGAACACAUGUUGAGGCCUUCAAUGAAACUCCCAUCUAUAUGUAAUCAGCCAAUUUCUUAAAUCUGAUUUUUAUUUUUCCUUUUACGGCGAAGUUCGAUGGGAUAUGGGUGAGAACCGACUGAAUCUUUGACGGGUAAAGAUGGUGUUGUAGAAGAAUAUGAAUAAUUGAUUUAUUCCUUUUGUGGUCUGAAAAAUGAGUUAUGGAAUUGGGGAAGAAAGAGAUGAUUGGUCUCUUUAUUUUGGUAGAUCUGAGAUUUUGCAGGUUGUCGAUAGAGUUGACUAUUGGUUAAAUCUGAGUUGAGGUGGAGUUUAGACUGUGGGUAAAUGAUUUGGUGUAGAAGUGUGAGAUGUAAGCAGUGGUGAUUAUGGCGAAUGGUGAUGGUAUUGGAGGUUUUGGGGGAGUUCAUGCAGAGAAGAUGAUGUUUAUUUUCUUUUUCUUCUUUUUUUUUAAUUGUGAAAAGAGGAAGAUGAAUCUAAAUGUAUAAAAUGGUUAAAAAUAAAGUUUUUUUUCUUAAUUAUAAAUACGCAUUAUCACCGCCAAAUCUGCUGAAUAAUCCGCAUAAGCAUCCAAUGUGGUUCAGUUUAGUAGGCGAAAAUGAUUUAACCCAUUUUAAAUGCCUUUUUUAAUGUGUUGAAAGUUGCCUCUAAAGGCCAAGGGUAAAAUAUGUUUACCUCCUAAUCCUUCACACUAUGACCCUCAUUCAACAAAAUCACUAGCCCACCCUUCUCUUAGUCUCCCUCUUGAUGUAUCCAGCUGCGAUUUUAUCUUGUUCGUAUUUAUUUACCACCGUACUUGCUAGCCAAUCCAAGUCUUCAAUGAGAAAAAGAUGGCAUCCAAAUGAAUCCGUAUUUGGAUGAAUCCUUGAACUACAGAUGGCUUUAGUCUGUAAGAAUUCUUAUAAUAUCAUGUGAACUUUGAAAUCACAAGUAAUUGUUAGGGACAAUUAAUAUACGAAUUAUGAUUCCAUCAUGUUUGACCACAAUCUUAGCAACUUAGUUGUAAUUGAAUUGUUGUGUGCAUAUAUUUAAAUUCAAAUUUACCAUAUGGAAACAAUUAAUGAAGGGAAGAUAUACCUGUGAAAGAGAAAUUUAAUUUUUGUUUUGCUACUUCAGUUCCCGCUAGCCCCAACUUGUCACAUAGCCUAUAAUUUAUACUUUCAAGGGUAUGUCUAAAAUUUAUUAUGUGGCUUAUUUACGCAAUUUUUUUUUUGUUGUGAUAUAAAUGAUUUGUGGCAAAUGCACAUCUUUGAGUACAAAAUACGCACUUAAAUGAUAUUAUUGUUCCUAUUUUAUUUGUUUAAUUUAAUUUUGCACUACUAAUCCAAGUCCCUCAUGUGAUUGUCCUGCAAUGCAGUUGGUGUUUUUCUAUUAUCUGAACUGUGAUUUAAAAUUGUAACGACCUAGGCUUAAAUUCAAGUGCAAAUCAAAUUAAGGCUUAAUCAAUUGUCCCAAUCUCAUCGACUUGUAUAAUCUUGGCCUACUAUAGACCCACCCAAAAGGUCAUGAAUAUUGGUGCCCUUGGUAGUAGAGUUAAGCCUUAUACAUAGAUAAAUCAAACCAACAUGUUUCGACAUAGAAUUAGUGUGGUAAUACUUGACGUACUCAUCAGGCCCAAAAUAAUUUUUGGGUUAACCCCUCAAGUUAUCCUCAAACUUAUAGCGAAUUUUACACUUAGUCCCUCAAUUAAUUUUUCCGCGCUAUUGGUUUGUCAACUUUUUAAAUCUUUUAAUCUUGGUAAAAAAUUUAUAAAAAACAGACGGAAUCCCCAAUUUUUAACAAAUUGUACACACGUGUGAGAGGAAAAGACAUUUUGAGGAUAUAAUUGUCCCAUAACAGUAAAUGCACAAUAAAACAAAAAGGGUUAACACUCUACUUGCCCCUAAACUUAUUGUCAAUUUCAUGUUUGGUCCCAAAUGUUUUUUUCUGCACGUUUGGUCCACCAACUUUUCAAAUCUUUUAAUCUUACUAAAAUUGGUCUAAUUUAAAUGGUGGAGCAAUUCUACUAAGAUUAAGAGAUUUAAAAAGUUGGUAGAUCAAAAGCUUGAUAAAAAAAGUUUGGGCAUCAUACGUGAAAUUAACAAUAAGUUUAGGGACGAUUGGAGGGGCCCAACAACUUACUCUAUAGCAGUUGUGAGAUAAUACCAACUACCCUCAUAUGCCCCCACCUUUGACUCUUCUAACCUUUGUAUAGCCUUUUUUGUACCCCAACGGCCCAACCUAUGACAACAUGAUCAAAUGACCCUGUUCAAACUUUCGAGAGUCAACUCUGAUAGUGUAUGUUGCGACUGUCUUAAAACCGAGUCCAAAUUAAAUUAAAGCUCAAUCCACUGCCUCAAGAGCAUCAUCAGAUUUGAUUAUCAUGGUUACAUAAUUGAUUCAUGGGCAAAUACAACUCUGUAAGAAAAAAAUAUCCACGUAAAUGAUAUAAAUUUUUUGAACAAGUUGUGCCUAUUAUGGGCUUUAGCGACGGACAGUCCGUCGCUAAACCAGUCCAUUCUUGAGCUGGCCUGUUACUUUAUUUGCUUAAAUUUUUACAUAGAGAAUUUGUUAUCCUUGAUAACAUCAUUGAACAAAUCUUUUCUGCUUUGCUUAAUUUUGAAGUUAUAGAUACCAUAAAGGCAUCAACAUAUGUAGCCAUUAAUGUUCGACUACAUAUGUUAUGUAACACCCCAGUCCCACAUUGAAAAAUAUGAAAAAAAUUUGUCUGUAUAUAAAGAAUUAAGAUACUAUUGGACUAGUAAUUUAAGAUCUUGUUUAGAUGGAUUUGAUUUGAGAUUUUUUUCGGGCUUGGAAUUUGACCCGAGAUUUGACUCGGAUUGUUUCAUAUGGUAUUAGAGCCGACUCUAAAGCUCGGGUUGAGUCAUCCAAUUGGGUUGCCGAAGGUGGGGACACAAAGGCUGGUGGUAUUAUCCCACAAUGCAGAGAGGUCAGGAGGUGGGGACACGAAGCCAGUCGAUAUUAUCUCACAAUGGCUAGAGAGAAAGAUCUGUGGACCGUGUGUGUGAUCGAUUAUGACAGGAACGUCAUAAAUUUAAGUGGGGGAGUUUGUAACACCCCAAUUUCACAUCGAAAGAUAUGAGGAAAAUUUGUCUGUAUAUAAAGAAUUAAGUUACUAACAAUAGUAACUUCAAUCAUGACCUUUUGGGUGAACCUGUGGUGGGUUAAGAUGACCCAAGAAGAUAUACUAUUGAAGGCCUUGUUUUGGAUGGAUUUGAUUUAAUUCAGACUUGGAUUUGACCCGAGAUUUGUUCCGGACUCGGGAUUUGACCCGAGUUGUUCUAUGUUAACACACAAAGCAUCACAUUUUCUUCUCUUCAGUAUAUAAUUUGUAUCGAGUAUAUCCAUGUAAAUAAUUUAAAUUUUUCUAAAAUUAUCCCUGGCUUGUUUUUUACAAGAACUGAGUGAUGGGAGAGGAGAGGUCAGGCUGACCAAGGGUAGUAUUACUAAUGAUAUGAUGGAAAAAGAUGUGUAAAUCGUGCAUAUAUUUUAUGAUAAAAGGAUAUCACUUGCAUUAAAGCUAGUGUUUGUAUGUUUGCCUGCUUGCUUGGGUCUUGUUUUAAUACUUUCAGAAAAGUUUUAUGUACUUGAAUGUAUUUCUUUUUUAUACAUGCUCAUUUUACUAAAACAAAGUGCGGCUGAAAUGAGCAGGACAUCUUACUGCGAGGAGUGAUGUGUACAGCUUCGGAGUUGUUCUUUUGGAGUUGUUGACAGGGAGGAAGUCUGUUGACAAGACACGACCAAGCAAAGAGCAGAGCUUGGUGGACUGGGCCCGGCCAAAGUUGAAUGACAAGAGAAAAUUAUUGCAAAUAAUAGACCCUAGAUUAGAGAAUCAAUAUUCGGUGAGGGCAGCCCAGAAAGCUUGCAGCUUGGCAUACUAUUGCCUAAGCCAAAACCCAAAAGCAAGGCCCUUAAUGAGCGACGUGGUUGAGACUUUAGAGCCUCUACAGAGCAGCACCAAUGGUGCAAAAGAAGUUUUAUCAUCCUUGUCAUCAUCAUCGAUCCCUCCCCUGAUGGGUGCUGGUGGCUCGUUUGCCUUGGCAGGGUUUGCUGACUACAGGAUGCAUCAAAGGUUUGCUGGCACAGUUGUUGCAAGUGCUGGUUUUCGGUCUCCCAAUGCAAAUUGUUCUCCCAGUGGCCCUGCAGCAUGUAGAGUUAGGUGAGACAUGAUGUCAGUAAUAUGUACAACUGUAUCAGUGUGGUGGUGUUGUUUUCAGCUUUUGAAACCUGAGUGAAUUUGCUGCUUUGUACCUGAUGUACAUGGUAAUGAUUACCAAGCCCUGUGUUCAUUGUUGUUCUUCCAGCAUUUUCGUGGCGUUCUUCUCAUGUGAAAUUUUAUAUUAGAUGCCAUUAUAGGUGGACAUCAAACGAAGUUGAUUCAUUCCGUUGAUAUGCUUGGGGUUGACUAUGGUGCCUCGGUCGGUCGGUGCAAGGAGUAUCCAUUUAGCAUUGUUAGGCUAUGGCAAUUACUCUAUUUUCACACAAUCGUUGCGCUUAUGAGAAUUUGGUGCUACUAAUCAGUUAAUAUUCAAAAUUUGACAUAUUUAAUGGCGAGAGUGAAUAUAUGAAACCGAGUGAACUAAACAAAAUGGAGAUUGAAGUUGAGUAACAAGUCAUUUGCAAAAACAAAAGAUGCCAACAGUCUCAAGUUAGCAAACAUAGUACGAGAUGCCAAACUAAUUGCCAGGGCAAGGGCAAGGGGAAGGGCGCCUUCUAAUUAUUUUUGUU